rnacentral:rRNA from 1 species
GUGCCAGCAGCCGCGGUAAGACGUAGGUGGCGAACGUUAUCCGGAAUCAUUGGGCGUAAAGGGUGCGUAGAUGGCAUGAUAAGUUAUUAGUGGGAAAUCGAGGCUCAACCUCGUGGAAGCUAGUAAUACUGUUUUGCUUGAGUACAGAAGAGGUUAACGGAACUCCAUGUGGAGCGGUAAAAUGCGUAGAUAUAUGGAAGAACACCAAUAACGGCGAAGGCAGUUAACUAUUCUGUUACUGACAUUGAGGCACGAAAGCGUGGGGAGCAAAACGGAUUAGAAACCCUAGUAGUCC